rnacentral:rRNA from 1 species
GACGAACGCUGGCGGCGUGCCUAAUACAUGCAAGUCGAACGCUUCUUUCCUCCCGAGUGCUUGCACUCAAUUGGAAAGAGGAGUGGCGGACGGGUGAGUAACACGUGGGUAACCUACCCAUCAGAGGGGGAUAACACUUGGAAACAGGUGCUAAUACCGCAUAACAGUUUAUGCCGCAUGGCAUAAGAGUGAAAGGCGCUUUCGGGUGUCGUUGAUGGCUGGACCCGCGGUGCAUUAGCUAGUUGGUGAGGUAACGGCUCACCAAGGCCACGAUGCAUAGCCGACCUGAGAGGGUGAUCGGCCACACUGGGAGUGAGACACGGCCCAGACUCCUACGGGAGGCAGCAGUAGGGAAUCUUCGGCAAUGGACGAAAGUCUGACCGAGCAACGCCGCGUGAGUGAAGAAGGUGUUCGGAUCGUAAAACUCUGUUGUUAGUGAAGAACAAGGACGUUAGUAACUGAACGUCUCCUGACGGUACCUAAACAGAAAGCCACGGCUAACUACGUG